GCUCCAUAGGCGGCUGGCAGGCCGGUGGUGCAGGUUGCAGGCUUUCGGGUCAGUGGGGCUCUUGGCUGGAGGGGAGCCAGAGGCCUGAAGGAUGCAGGCGUUCUUGCUGCUGCAGGACUCUGUGGAGAAUGAAGGCACAUACAUAAAUGGUUUAUAAUAGAAGUCUCCAGGAGUCCUAACGUGCAGACAAACGUUAGAAGAAGGAAGGUCGGAAGGAAAAGUAAAAUGCUGCCUGCCAAACACAGAUGAGCCAAGGACGUCAGAAAACGGUCCAUGAAAAAGGCUUCAAGAUUGGGCCUUGCAAGCUUCUACCUAGGUAGUGGCUCACCUGGCCUUGAUGAACUUCCUGCAUGUGUCGACAACAUGCUCCAUCUGCAGGUACAUGGCUGUGCUCAUCACAGCCAUGAUGUUGCCUUCCCUCAGGUUGAGCCUAGAUGUGUACAUGAAAUCCAAGAGGAUGCAAAACCCCUCAGGGCUGAUCUCAGGGUCCAGAUUGAUUACACUAAGGUUGCAUUUCAACUGGUCAGUGAAGAUGCUGUAGAACAGGCCACUGUAAAGCAAACAGAGUUGUCACCAUAGUGGUCACAAAGCAUCUCUGUAUCUUGUCGUCCUGGAGCCCAGAUCCCAGAGCUCUGUGGUACUUAAUAAUAACUUCUACUUGUGGAAAGCCUAGCAGAUGCCAGCAAUUCCUGAAGCAUUUUACAAGUGUACAUUAGCUGACGUUCUCCCUAAUCCUGUAAGAUUAUACCACCAUGUUCUACCUUUACACAUGGAGAAACUGAGCUAGAGGAGCAUGGGAGAUAGUCUUGGAGCUGUUUUUCUUUUGUCUAACUUAGCAUUCACCCGCUCCUACUUCAUGUGUUUGGUAUGAGUAUUUCCCUUGCUUUAUCA